rnacentral:rRNA from 1 species
CACAUUGAGGAAGUAAAAGUCGUAACAAGGUUUCCGUAGGUGAACCUGCGGAAGGAUCAUUAAUGGGAGGGGUUUUCGGACCCCGGGGACUCCGGUCCCCCCCCCUUACCCUAUGCCUACCUACCUUCGUUGCCUUGACGGGCCCGAGGAAUACCCUUCUUGCACCCCCGUCAGUGGCCCCUCCAACUUCGUCCAUCAGCGUCGUCCGAGUAGUACUAUAAUCGUAAAAAGUUUCAACAACGGAUCUCUUGGUUCUGGCAUCGAUGAAGAACGCAGCGAAAUGCGAUAAGUAAUGUGAAUUGCAGAAUUCAGUGAAUCAUCGAAUCUUUGAACGCACAUUGCGCCUCUCGGUAUUCCGGGAGGCAUGCCUGUUCGAGCGUCAUUACACCCCUCAAGCGUAGCUUAGUAGUGGGCCUUCGCCCCCGCGGCGAGCCCGAAACGCAGUGGCGGACCGCCGUGACUUUGAGCGUAGUAAGCAUUUCUCCCGCUUUGAAAGCCUACGGUGCGGCCGACCAGAACAGACACCUCAACGAUGACC